rnacentral:rRNA from 1 species
CCUACGGGAGGCAGCAGUGGGGAAUAUUGCACAAUGGGCGCAAGCCUGAUGCAGCCAUGCCGCGUGUGUGAAGAAGGCCUUCGGGUUGUAAAGCACUUUCAGCGGGGAGGAAGGCGUUAAGGUUAAUAACCUUGGCGAUUGACGUUACCCGCAGAAGAAGCACCGGCUAACUCCGUGCCAGCAGCCGCGGUAAUACGGAGGGUGCAAGCGUUAAUCGGAAUUACUGGGCGUAAAGCGCACGCAGGCGGUCUGUCAAGUCGGAUGUGAAAUCCCCGGGCUCAACCUGGGAACUGCAUUCGAAACUGGCAGGCUAGCGUCUUGUAGAGGGGGGUAGAAUUCCAGGUGUAGCGGUGAAAUGCGUAGAGAUCUGGAGGAAUACCGGUGGCGAAGGCGGCCCCCUGGACAAAGACUGACGCUCAGGUGCUAAAGCGUGGGGAGCAAACAGGAUUAGAUACCCGGGUAGUC